UUGCAACUUUGAGACCGGCGCACGGGUGCGUAACGCGUAUGCAAUCUACCUUAUACAGAGGGAUAGCCCAGAGAAAUUUGGAUUAAUACCUCAUAGUGUUAUUGAAUGGCAUCAUUUACUAACUAAAGUUCCAACGGUAUAAGAUGAGCAUGCGUCCUAUUAGCUAGAUGGUAAGGUAACGGCUUACCAUGGCUACGAUAGGUAGGGGUCCUGAGAGGGAGAUCCCCCAUACUGGUACUGAGACACGGACCAGACUCCUACGGGAGGCAGCAGUGAGGAAUAUUGGACAAUGGGCGCAAGCCUGAUCCAGCCAUGCCGCGUGCAGGAAGAAGCAUCUAUGGUGUGUAAACUGCUUUUGUACGGGAAGAAACACUCCUACGUGUAGGAGCUUGACGGUACCGUAAGAAUAAGGAUCGGCUAACUCCGUGCCAGCAGCCGCGGUAAUACGGAGGAUCCAAGCGUUAUCCGGAAUCAUUGGGUUUAAAGGGUCCGUAGGCGGUUUAAUAAGUCAGUGGUGAAAUCUGGUCGCUCAACGAUCAAACGGCCAUUGAUACUGUUAGACUUGAAUUACUGGGAAGUAACUAGAAUAUGUAGUGUAGCGGUGAAAUGCUUAGAUAUUACAUGGAAUACCAAUUGCGAAGGCAGGUUACUACCAGUUGAUUGACGCUGAUGGACGAAAGCGUGGGGAGCGAACAGGAUU
rnacentral:rRNA from 1 species